AAUAAGUGUGAUCUAACCCCCCUUCCCCCUCCCUCCAUUCGCCCAAUAUCGAGAAACCACUUCAACCACCCCAACCUGGGCAACAACGGGGGGGAAGAAAUCUACAUCCAGCGAGCGAGAGACGGGAGGAAUCGAGGGCGCGAGAGGAUGGCGAACUGCAAAAUGUCAGCUGAAAAAAAAAAAAAAAAGAGUUGCUAGUGGCCUGACAUGGAGGGGGAGACUACGUGGCACAGUUAUUAGGGAAGAUGUCUGGCGCUAAUCAGUGGAGGACUGCAGGGACCCCCACUAAACGGCCUCAUCAUCAGAGGGACCCAGUGGUGAUAAAUCUAGCCCCAAGCACCCAGGGGGCCUGCAGUCCGUGGUCCUCCUAGCCCCGGGGCCCGGCUGCGACCACGAGAAGUACGCUGGUGGUCCCAGCAGGGGCGGAGGCUCAGACACACCAUUAGCAUGAGGGAAUUGGAGUCAUUACAACUGGAAGGGCAACGGAGGACGAGUCCUUCUCUCUGCAAAGGAGAUGAAAACCCAUCCCAGAAUGACCCUCUAAUAGGGGGGAGGGACACAUCUGUCAAGUGCAUAAACAUGACCCAUGUCUUUGAGUCUCCAUCAUCUCAUUAACUUCUGCUGGGCGGAAGGGGCAGUCUCCAUUAUCUUUGCACGUGCAGAACACGAGUUGAAACUGGAGGAUGGACCAAGCAAUUAUCUGCUAUUUUGAGCAAGGUCAGCAACUCCGAGGGAACCGAGAAUCCACUGGUCACUUUGUCAACAGACAGACGGCGUGAGCACAGACCGUCAGACAAGCUUCAAAAGAAGUACUUCUCUUUGUCUGUUUUUUGCAAUUAAACCCCUCAUUUCCAUUUCUAAAAUGUGCAAUAAUGGCCAAUUAAAACUGAAUAUGGGUGAUCACUGAGAUAAUGAAGAGGCAAAAGUGUGUCUCUUUUAUUUGAUAAAAGCCUUAAAACAGUGUUAGUUUUUCCUUUGACUCUACGUAGAAUUUCCAUUUCCAUUAGCUUACAAAUGACUGUCUUUUCCUCAUUAGAGCGAUGUCACAGUGUAAAUGAUCCCAACCCGUUGUUUUGUGUCUCUUUUAAACUGAAUUAUACAUCAAGACUCCUGUUCCAGUUUUAAAUGAGAAGCAAAUAGUUUCCUAUGUAAAGUGAGUAGAGUUCCGAAGUGAAUAAAAAUCCACUCAUAUUGCGUCACUCAGAGAUGCACUAAUGAUUCUUUAAUUAGACUUUAAUGUCUGCACUCCCCCCAGCCCAAAACACCAUGAAGACGGUUCAUCUUAUGAGAGGAUGCAGCACAUCACUGUAUCCACCUUGAAUGUACUGGUAGCAUGUGCAUAUGUGAUGUGAAGAACAGAAUGAUACUACAAACAAUA